UGAGUUCAUUGUCUUCAACACCCACAACAUCUCCGCCAACUUCAACAACGUCUUCCACACCACCAACGACAUGCACACUCUCCCUUACAACACCGAGGACGAGGAGUGAACUUGGUGGAGGGGCCAGGCCGUGCUAAGUUAUUUGUAAGGGCGCUACUAUAAUCCCUAACAUUAAUUUCUAGUUAUGUAAUGUGUGUUUUCUCUAUAUAUC
rnacentral:lncRNA from 1 species